rnacentral:rRNA from 1 species
CAAGUCGAACGCGAAAGGGGAGCAAUCCCUGAGUAGAGUGGCAAACGGGUGAGUAACACGUGGGUGACCUGCCUCAGAGUGGGGGAUAACGUCCCGAAAGGGACGCUAAUACCGCAUAACAUCCUGCCUUUGGAAAGGCGGAGAUCAAAGCCGGGGAUCGCAAGACCUGGCGCUUGGAGAGGGGCCCGCGUCUGAUUAGCUAGUUGGUAGGGUAAUGGCCUACCAAGGCGACGAUCAGUAUCCGGCCUGAGAGGGCGGACGGACACACUGGGACUGAGACACGGCCCAGACUCCUACGGGAGGCAGCAGUGGGGAAUUGUUCGCAAUGGGCGCAAGCCUGACGACGCAACGCCGCGUGGAGGAUGAAGAUCUUCGGGUCGUAAACUCCUGUCGAGCGGGACGAACACUUACCUGGCCAAUAUCCGGGUAGGCUGACGGUACCGCUAAAGGAAGCCCCGGCUAACUCCGUGCCAGCAGCCGCGGUAAUACGGGGGGGGCAAGCGUUGUUCGGAAUUACUGGGCGUAAAGGGCUCGUAGGCGGCCAACUAAGUCGGACGUGAAAUCCCCAGGCUCAACCUGGGAACUGCGUCUGAUACUGGAUGGCUUGAAUCCGGGAGAGGGAUGCAGAAUUCCAGGUGUAGCGGUGAAAUGCGUAGAUAUCUGGAGGAAUACCGGUGGCGAAGGCGGCAUCCUGGACCGGCAUUGACGCUGAGGAGCGAAAGCCAGGGGAGCAAACGGGAUUAGAUACCCCGGUAGUCCUGGCCCUAAACGAUGAAUGCUUGGUGUAACGGGUAUCGAUCCCUGUUGUGCC